rnacentral:rRNA from 1 species
GACGAACGCUGGCGGCGUGCCUAAUACAUGCAAGUCGAACGCUUGUGCCCUCCCGAGUUCUUGCACUCGAUUGGCAAGCGGGGGGGUGGUCGGGAGACAAACUAGUCACGAACCUAGCCAUAAGCGCGGGAUAACACGUGGAAACAGGGGCUAAUACCGCAUAACAGUUUAUGCCGCAUGGCAUAAGAGUGAAAGGGGCUGACGGGCGUAGCUGCUGGUUGGACGCUCGGUGGAUUACGUAGUUGGCGAGGUAACGGCCCACCAAGGCCACGAUGCAUAGCCGACCUGAGAGGAUGAUCGGCCACACUGGAACUGAGACACGGCCCAGACUCCUACGGGAGGCAGCAGUGGGGAAUCUUCGGCAAUGGACGAAAGUCUGACCGAGCCACGCCGCGUGAGUGAAGAAGGUUUUCGGAUCGUAAAGCUCUGUUGUUAGGGAAGAACAAGAACGUUAGUAAAUGAACGUCCCCUGACGGUACCUAACCAGAAAGCCACGGCUAACUACGUG